UGAGGGCUAAGUCAUGCAGUUUGCUGUUCUGUGGUUUUGUGGCCAUUUCCCUGUGAUAAUCUCCUCUAUUUUCCAACCCUGAAUAGCUGAGGAAAAGGACAUGUGAUUAUCAGACCGGAAUGGUCAGUCACAUCAUAGGGAAUGAAGGUCCGGGAGGGAGGCCCUAGCUCAUCUCUGCCCCUGCCUGCCCAGGCAGCCAGACGGCCUGCCUGCUGCCUUGGGCUCUCACACCAACCUUGGUGCUCUCCUGGCUGUCCUCCAAACGGCCCAGGAGGUCCUGCUGGAGCUCCAGCCUAAUGUUUACAGAGCCCCAGGGACCACGGCCGAGCUCAGGUCUCCAAACCAAUGGAAGAACUUAACCCCCAAGUAACGGACCUUUCCUCAGGAGACCAGGAACAACUGUGACAACCGCCAUGCACUAGUCUGGAGUUGACAAGUGUGUCUAGAUCCUACAUUCAAAACAACGGAAGAGGUCCCCCAGAUCUACUGGGAGCUGUCCACCAAGAGGGUGCUCCUGAUGGAAUUCGUGGAGGGAGGGCAGGUCAACGACAGGGCCUACAUGGAGAAGAACCAGAUAGACGUGAAUGAGAGAUGGACUUUCAGUCCAGGGGCUCACCCCGUCCAUUCACUUCUCUGGAUCCAGCAAGCUAAGGCUGAAAUGGCAUCUUAUCAGAGGUGGCUCUGAUUUUCCAAGACGAGUGUAAACACAGACGCAUGUGCUCUGAUGACGUGGCUUGCUUGUGACCGGACCAGCUGGAGAUUGGUGGACUCUGGGCAGGGUGGACCCUCUGAGCCCGGGCCCCUUUGUUCCUGCCUCCUCCAUUCCUGUGCGUGUGGGAAAAGCCAUGAUCCAGACAGACAAACCUUAGCGAGCACCCAGAUCUUUCAAGAAUGAAACAAGCCAGUCUCAA